AUUUUCUUUGCCGUCGUCUGCAAUCACCUGUGACAAUGAACCCAACAUCGGUGCUUGAAAUGUUUUUUUCAUAGAAAUCCUGAAAAUGUACAGAGAGACUUGUCGCAGUACCAAAUGCUUGCCUCCUCUGAGUAUGUGCUUGAAACAAGAAUGUCCUGGAGAAAACAGACAGUCACAGGAGAAGGAAUUGAGAAGGAGGGCUUCCUGUCAAGAGAUCAUGGGGUGCCUUGAGGUUCCAGCCUUGAAUUUUUGCUCUUUACCCCUAAGCGAUGGCCUCUUGUAGGAACAAAGCAUAAUGGACUGGUGCCUGUACAUGUAAUGCAGAAGCUCAUGAUGAUAUGGUAGACAAGACAAGGACCUUGCUGUGUAAAGCUCAGAGGCCAGAUGACAGUGUCUGAACCAGCUUGUCAGAAUUGGACACAAAGAUGCAAGUGGACUUGUCUUCAGUAGUGGCUAAAGAGGAGCAGUCAGCCGAAGGAACACGCAACUCCAAGACAAUGUGGAUACUGGAUACUUCUCUCAAGUUCAUCUCUAAUCAGAACAUUGCUCUUCAGGAAUCAAGAUGAGACAAUGGAGGUAGAGGAGUUUGUGACCCUCCUGACUGUGGACAACUUGCAUUAUACAUGUAGCACUACUGCACAAAACUCGACUAGUCAUGCUUGAACAAAUCGUACAAAACACUUGUUGAAGCAUUGAUUUAUGUAACUGGUAUUAUAGCCGUAAGGUAGAGUUAAGCUUCUAAAUUUGAAGAGAAACUUUGUCCCAUA